rfam:Pteropus alecto contig6171, whole genome shotgun sequence.
GGUUCCAUAGUGUAGCGGUUAGCACGCCUGCUUUACACACAGAAGGUCCUGGGUUUGUUCCCCAGCGGAGCCA